rnacentral:RNase_P_RNA from 1 species
CAACUGCAGUAAAUGAUCGCGGCUUGCCGAAAGCUUUCGGCAAGGUGAGGAAAGUCCGGGCUUCGCAGGGCAGGAUGCCGGAUAACGUCCGGUGGAGGUGACUCCAAGGCCAGUGCAACAGAAAUAUACCGCCGGCACUUAGCUGUGUGGAGGAUACCGUGAAAGGAUUCUCCGUUCGAGGUUGAUAUCUCGUUCCGGUAAGGGUGGAAGGGUGGUGUAAGAGACCACCGCCUCCGCGGUAACGAGGAGGGCACAUGUAAACCCCAUCCGAAGCAAGACCAAACAGGGAACGAUAGACUUGCCCGGUCUGUUCCCAGGUAGGUCGCUUGAGGCUGACGGCAACGUCAGUCCUAGAUAGAUGAUCAUUCGCGCUGCUGUGGCAGUGCUGACAUAACCCGGCUUAUCGCUGCGGUUGCCGA